UUAAGCGACUAAGCGUACACGGUGGAUGCCCUGGCAGUCAGAGGCGAUGAAGGGCGUGCUAAUCUGCGAUAAGCGCCGGUAAGGUGAUAUGAACCGUUAUAACCGGCGAUACCCGAAUGGGGAAACCCAGUGUGAUUCGUCACACUAUCAUUAACUGAAUCCAUAGGUUAAUGAGGCGAACCGGGGGAACUGAAACAUCUAAGUACCCCGAGGAAAAGAAAUCAACCGAGAUUCCCCCAGUAGCGGCGAGCGAACGGGGAGGAGCCCAGAGCCUGAAUCAGCAUGUGUGUUAGUGGAAGCGUCUGGAAAGGCGCGCGAUACAGGGUGACAGCCCCGUACACAAAAGCGCAUGUGCUGUGAGCUCGAUGAGUAGGGCGGGACACGUGGUAUCCUGUCUGAAUAUGGGGGGACCAUCCUCCAAGGCUAAAUACUCCUGACUGACCGAUAGUGAACCAGUACCGUGAGGGAAAGGCGAAAAGAACCCCGGCGAGGGGAGUGAAAAAGAACCUGAAACCGUGUACGUACAAGCAGUGGGAGCACAGGUUUACCUGUGUGACUGCGUACCUUUUGUAUAAUGGGUCAGCGACUUAUAUUCUGUAGCAAGGUUAACCGAAUAGGGGAGCCGGAGGGAAACCGAGUCUUAAUUGGGCGUUAAGUUGCAGGGUAUAGACCCGAAACCCGGUGAUCUAGCCAUGGGCAGGUUGAAGGUUGGGUAACACUAACUGGAGGACCGAACCGACUAAUGUUGAAAAAUUAGCGGAUGACCUGUGGCUGGGGGUGAAAGGCCAAUCAAACCGGGAGAUAGCUGGUUCUCCCCGAAAGCUAUUUAGGUAGCGCCUCGUGAAUUCAUCUCCGGGGGUAGAGCACUGUUUCGGCUAGGGGGCCAUCCCGGCUUACCAACCCGAUGCAAACUGCGAAUACCGGAGAAUGUUAUCACGGGAGACACACGGCGGGUGCUAACGUCCGUCGUGAAGAGGGAAACAACCCAGACCGCCAGCUAAGGUCCCAAAGUCAUGGUUAAGUGGGAAACGAUGUGGGAAGGCCCAGACAGCCAGGAUGUUGGCUUAGAAGCAGCCAUCAUUUAAAGAAAGCGUAAUAGCUCACUGGUCGAGUCGGCCUGCGCGGAAGAUGUAACGGGGCUAAACCAUGCACCGAAGCUGCGGCAGCGACACUGUGUGUUGUUGGGUAGGGGAGCGUUCUGUAAGCCUGCGAAGGUGGCCUGUGAGGGUUGCUGGAGGUAUCAGAAGUGCGAAUGCUGACAUAAGUAACGAUAAAGCGGGUGAAAAGCCCGCUCGCCGGAAGACCAAGGGUUCCUGUCCAACGUUAAUCGGGGCAGGGUGAGUCGACCCCUAAGGCGAGGCCGAAAGGCGUAGUCGAUGGGAAACGGGUUAAUAUUCCCGUACUUGGUGUUACUGCGAAGGGGGGACGGAGAAGGCUAUGUUGGCCGGGCGACGGUUGUCCCGGUUUAAGCGUGUAGGCUGGUUUUCCAGGCAAAUCCGGAAAAUCAAGGCUGAGGCGUGAUGACGAGGCACUACGGUGCUGAAGCAACAAAUGCCCUGCUUCCAGGAAAAGCCUCUAAGCAUCAGGUAACAUCAAAUCGUACCCCAAACCGACACAGGUGGUCAGGUAGAGAAUACCAAGGCGCUUGAGAGAACUCGGGUGAAGGAACUAGGCAAAAUGGUGCCGUAACUUCGGGAGAAGGCACGCUGACACGUAGGUGAAGUGAUUUACUCAUGGAGCUGAAGUCAGUCGAAGAUACCAGCUGGCUGCAACUGUUUAUUAAAAACACAGCACUGUGCAAACACGAAAGUGGACGUAUACGGUGUGACGCCUGCCCGGUGCCGGAAGGUUAAUUGAUGGGGUCAGCGCAAGCGAAGCUCCUGAUCGAAGCCCCGGUAAACGGCGGCCGUAACUAUAACGGUCCUAAGGUAGCGAAAUUCCUUGUCGGGUAAGUUCCGACCUGCACGAAUGGCGUAAUGAUGGCCAGGCUGUCUCCACCCGAGACUCAGUGAAAUUGAACUCGCUGUGAAGAUGCAGUGUACCCGCGGCAAGACGGAAAGACCCCGUGAACCUUUACUAUAGCUUGACACUGAACAUUGAGCCUUGAUGUGUAGGAUAGGUGGGAGGCUUUGAAGUGUGGACGCCAGUCUGCAUGGAGCCGACCUUGAAAUACCACCCUUUAAUGUUUGAUGUUCUAACGUGGACCCGUUACCCGGGUUGCGGACAGUGUCUGGUGGGUAGUUUGACUGGGGCGGUCUCCUCCUAAAGAGUAACGGAGGAGCACGAAGGUUGGCUAAUCCUGGUCGGACAUCAGGAGGUUAGUGCAAUGGCAUAAGCCAGCUUGACUGCGAGCGUGACGGCGCGAGCAGGUGCGAAAGCAGGUCAUAGUGAUCCGGUGGUUCUGAAUGGAAGGGCCAUCGCUCAACGGAUAAAAGGUACUCCGGGGAUAACAGGCUGAUACCGCCCAAGAGUUCAUAUCGACGGCGGUGUUUGGCACCUCGAUGUCGGCUCAUCACAUCCUGGGGCUGAAGUAGGUCCCAAGGGUAUGGCUGUUCGCCAUUUAAAGUGGUACGCGAGCUGGGUUUAGAACGUCGUGAGACAGUUCGGUCCCUAUCUGCCGUGGGCGCUGGAGAACUGAGGGGGGCUGCUCCUAGUACGAGAGGACCGGAGUGGACGCAUCACUGGUGUUCGGGUUGUCAUGCCAAUGGCACUGCCCGGUAGCUAAAUGCGGAAGAGAUAAGUGCUGAAAGCAUCUAAGCACGAAACUUGCCCCGAGAUGAGUUCUCCCUGAGACUUAAAGUCUCCUGAAGGAACGUUGAAGACGACGACGUUGAUAGGCCGGGUGUGUAAGCGCAGCGAUGCGUUGAGCUAACCGGUACUAAUGAACCGUGAGGCUUAACCUU
rnacentral:rRNA from 1 species